rnacentral:rRNA from 1 species
GGCGAACGGGUGAGUAACACGUGGGUAACCUGCCCAUCAGAAGGGGAUAACACUUGGAAACAGGUGCUAAUACCGUAUAACAAUCAAAACCGCAUGGUUUUGAUUUGAAAGGCGCUUUCGGGUGUCGCUGAUGGAUGGACCCGCGGUGCAUUAGCUAGUUGGUGAGGUAACGGCUCACCAAGGCCACGAUGCAUAGCCGACCUGAGAGGGUGAUCGGCCACAUUGGGACUGAGACACGGCCCAAACUCCUACGGGAGGCAGCAGUAGGGAAUCUUCGGCAAUGGACGAAAGUCUGACCGAGCAACGCCGCGUGAGUGAAGAAGGUUUUCGGAUCGUAAAACUCUGUUGUUAGAGAAGAACAAGGAUGAGAGUAACUGUUCAUCCCUUGACGGUAUCUAACCAGAAAGCCACGGCUAACUACGUGCCAGCAGCCGCGGUAAUACGUAGGUGGCAAGCGUUGUCCGGAUUUAUUGGGCGUAAAGCGAGCGCAGGCG